rnacentral:rRNA from 1 species
AGUGAACGCUGGCGGUAGGCCUAACACAUGCAAGUCGAACGGCAGCACAGUAAGAGCUUGCUCUUACGGGUGGCGAGUGGCGGACGGGUGAGGAAUACAUCGGAAUCUACUUUUUCGUGGGGGAUAACGUAGGGAAACUUACGCUAAUACCGCAUGCGACCUACGGGUGAAAGCAGGGGAUCUUCGGACCUUGCGCGAUUGAAUGAGCCGAUGUCGGAUUAGCUAGUUGGCGGGGUAAAGGCCCACCAAGGCGACGAUCCGUAGCUGGUCUGAGAGGAUGAUCGGCCACACUGGAACUGGGCCACGGUCCAUGCUCCUACGGGACGCAGCAGUGGGGUAUAUUGGACAAUGGGCGCAAGCCUUAUCCAGCCAUACCGCGUGGGUGAAGAAGGCCUUCGGGUUGUAAAGCCCUUUUGUUGGGAAAGAAAAGCAGCAGGUUAAUACCCCGCUGUUCUGACGGUACCCAAAGAAUAAGCACCGGCUAACUUCGUG